rnacentral:rRNA from 1 species
GUAAACCGGAGGAAGGUGGGGAUGACGUCAAGUCAUCAUGGCCCUUACGGCCUGGGCUACACACGUGCUACAAUGGUCGGUACAAAGGGUUGCCAAGCCGCGAGGUGGAGCUAAUCCCAUAAAACCGAUCGUAGUCCGGAUCGCAGUCUGCAACUCGACUGCGUGAAGUCGGAAUCGCUAGUAAUCGUGAAUCAGAAUGUCACGGUGAAUACGUUCCCGGGCCUU